rnacentral:ncRNA from 1 species
UAUAAAUAAAUUUUGUAAUUUAAAAAAUUUAAUUUAAAUUUAUUUUACAUAUAAAUUUUAGUGUUAAUUUUUAAUUAUUUUAAUAAUUUUUUAAAAAUGAUUGGUAGUAAUUAAAAUUAUAAAUUUAAGAAAUUAAGAUUUAGUAAUAUUUAUAUUUAUUAACAAAUUUUGUGCCAGCAGUUGCGGUUAUACAAAUAAUAAUUUAAAUUUUAUUAGUAAAUAAUUAGUAUAAUAAGAAAAAAAUUAAAUAUUAAUUUAUUAGGUAAAAUUUUAAUUUAAUAAAAAUUUUAAUUAAUUAUAUGAUUUAUUAAAUUUUGAAAAAAACUAGGAUUAGAUACCCUAUUAUUAAAAAUUAAAUUAAUAAUACUAAAUUAGUAUAUAAUAAUUUAUAAAAACUCAAAUAAUUUGGCGGUAUUUUAGUUCAUUUAGAGGAAUCUGUUUAACAAUUGAUAAUCCACGAAUAAAUUUACUUAAUUUAUAAAUUUUGUAUAUCGUUGUUAAAAAAAUAUUUUUUAAUAAAAAUAAUAUUUUAAAAUUAUAAAUAUAAUUUAGUUCAGAUCAAGAUGCAGAUUAUAAUUAAGAAUAUAAUGGAUUACAAUAUAUAAUAAAUAAAUGGAUAUUAUUGUUUAAUAAAUAUUUGAAAAUGGAUUUAAAUGUAAUUUUAUUUAAUUUAUUAAAAUGAUUAUAAAUUAAAAUAUGUACAUAUUGCCCGUCGCUUUCAUAUAUAAAUUGAAAUAAGUCGUAACAAAGUAGAAGUACUGGAAAGUGUUUCUAGAAAGAA